UGAGGAAUAUUGGACAAUGGGCGCAAGCCUGAUCCAGCAACGCCGCGUGAAUGGUAAGGCCUUAGGGUUGUAAAGUUCUUUUAGUAGGGAAGAUAAUGACGGUACCUACAGAAAAAGCCCCGGCUAACUUCGUGCCAGCAGCCGCGGUAAUACGAAGGGGGCUAGCGUUACUCGGAAUUAUUGGGCGUAAAGCGUGCGUAGGCUGUAUGGUAAGUUAGGAGUGAAAUCUUUGGGCUCAACCCAAAAAUUGCUUUUAAUACUGCUGUGCUUGAGUUUCGGAGAGGAUAGUGGAAUUCCUAGUGUAGAGGUGAAAUUCGUAGAUAUUAGGAGGAACACCGGUGGCGAAAGCGAUUAUCUGGCCGAAUACUGACGCUGUUGCACGAAAGCGUGGGGAGCAAACAGG
rnacentral:rRNA from 1 species